GAAAGAGAGAGAGAGAGAAGAAGAAGAAGAAAACGUUCCUUCGUUUGUGUAGAAAUCUUUGGGUCUUGUACCAAGUUCUUUGUUUUAACCUUCUUUUCUUUUUUUCCUUCUUCUCUG
rnacentral:ribozyme from 1 species